UAAUUGUGCUGACCACCGGACAUGUUGCUGAAUAAAUGCACUGGCUGCAAGAGGGAAGGGAAAAAAAACAGAAAGAAGUGAAGUCAGACAUCUUGUUUGGCUGCAGGAUGCACAGAUAUACAGAAACCACCAUGAGACUUGUAAAGCAAGACGAAAGAGAGCAGAACUCUAAGAACGCUUUUUGAACAAACGAGAUCACAUGCAGACCCACACUUUUCACUGCCAUUCGGGUGGACCAUGUAAUAAGUUCUCAAGUGCAGAAGCAUUAAGCUGUGAAAGCUGUUCUUUCAUCUGAGAGUGAACUGAUAAUGAAGGCUGCACUGGCAGGAGUGGAAAAGAAAACUGCCGGAGUCUGCUGAGUUACUGCCGGAGUGUUACUGUGUCUGUUUGAAUGGGCAGAUAAUAAGAUUGAACAUUUUUCCACUGUUAUAUUUUGUGUUAAUUAGUUUUUGCAUAACAAGGAUCCUUUGUCUAACAGCAUGUGAGGGUCUUUGGCCUUUACCUUUGUGUAAAUAUCUUUGUUUAAAUUUUAUACUUAACAGGCAGCUGAUGAUGUGAGGGGCGAGCGAAGAACAACAUCCACACUCCACAUCAACAGCAAACCAAACAGGUGACCAGAUGCCUUUUACAAAACCAGGAUUUGACACAGAAUCUCCAAUUGGCAAGAUCGGCUCCACAUAAUGAAAACCGGAGGCAACCUAACGGUGAGAUUCAACACGUGCACACAGUCCUUCAUAAGCACACCCACACAACAAAUCCUUUGCAAACCAUCAAACAAAUGAUGCACCUUAGCUCUUGUGCAGACUCAUCAGUAAGUGUGCGCCGUAGGGCUGAGCAGCUCCAGUUUGCAUGUUAACUCGACCCAGCCUUCCGGACAGAGCAUGAAAAGCAGCUGCAGGUCGCUGACGGAGGCUGAACGGCUAUUUGAGCAAUUCUACUGUACAUUUAACAUGGACACACUGACGUGAGAUGGCAUAAUCACAACACCCCCCUCCCCACACACACACACACACACACACAUUCACAUGAAGCCAUAUUCAUGUCGUGCCAUUUUUAAAGUCAUGAAUAUUUACUUAAUUACUUGAUAAAAAUCCAUAACUGUCCAUUUAGUAGCUGUUGAGAGAUUUGAGUCACCAGCCCCAGCGCCUUGCUAGUGGCUGAAAACCAUUAAAUUGGAACAAAUGUGCAAAUAUGACUUCAAAUGAAUGUUUUUCAUGCUAAUGCCUGACAUACACUCUGUGACAUUGAGAGAGAACAAAGGCGAUGCAGAGUGAGGUCUGACAACAACAUGAACGGGGUGACGCCUGCAGCCACUUUAGGAAAACAAGUUGACUUCUUACCGACAGCUCUGAUUUUUAUCAUUGACCCCCUGAUCUCCCACUGUGGCCAGCUUCAAGUAUCUGCUUUUGGAGAGUGAAGGGGUCAGGGCCUGUACCAGCUCCAGCAAAUGCGAUUUGUUUAAUCAGGUGAAAAAAUCAGGUACUUUACAUGAGCGACUAGAAGAAGAGACUGAAGUCUCGAUUAAAGACACCACACACCGAACUUGAUCAGGUGGAUGAGAACUGUAGACUACAGGGACUGUUUAACUUUCCCUAGAUGGCUCUUUACUGGACAUCUGCCAUGGGGUCAAACUGCUGUGGUUAAGUC
ensembl:lncRNA